UUGCGAGUGCGGACACGUUUGGAAAUGGACGGGUUGAAAGUAAAAAUUAGUCAGAUUACUGGGCCAAAGGCGCAACUGCCAGACUCGGAGGACAUGCGGAAGGGACGCCAACUUGCAUUUGGACGCAUGAGUACUGAGCUAUGUGGUGUGCUUGAAGAGCUGAUGUCUGAUGUCACGUUGCACCACAAGGUGGAGAGUAGAUAAUCACAAAAGCAGAGGAAAAAG